rnacentral:lncRNA from 1 species
AGGGUGCAGAACUUCAGAUCUUGUUGUGACCUCGCAGACCUACCCGGAUCCGGGAGGAAGGCCAGUGCAAUACUGGAAGCUGGUGAACAACUGCGGCUGCCCACAGAAGAACGUGAAGCUGGCGUGCCUGGGAUUCAGCUCUUCCAUCGAGGUCUACCCAGACACAUCCAUCAAGCCGGACGGCGACGGCAAGCUGUGCUCCCUCUACGGCGGUCGCCCGGUUGGGCCUAAGGAGAAGGUCUUCUUCGACGUUCACUCGAGUACCCAGUUCAGCUUCCAAGUCGUCUCCUCCACCAUUGUAUGUUAGAUAUACUGCGAAUGAUGAUAUCAAGUCAUAUCAAAACUAUGUUUCCAUAGCGACAGAAACGAUAUUUCUGAAUAAAGCUCUUUGUUUCCGACAUAGACAGUAGACGACUCGCAUUGACGAAUUUGAACAGUCACACAAAACGCUUCCCAAAUACUUAAUUCGUCCUCUCCCGGUGCAGGAUCGCAAAGACGAACGGUUCCGGAGACUUGGUCUCUCGCACGCUGAUGCACGCCGGCGUUCGAGAUGAGGUAGACUACGAUCGCGGCGCAAGUUAUGAGACGAGGCAAAACCCUACAUGUUUUCGAUGUGCCUUUGGCCGACCACAGUAAGCAGUAUAUAUAUAUAGGAGGACCAAGGUCGGUUCCGUGUCGCGAUCACGUCUCAAACCGACUUGAUUUCCAAGUCUAUACUUACCGGACAAGAAAUUCUCAACUUGUCUGCCAAGACACAAAAAAUAAAAUGGCAAAAGGAAGCCCCCCCCCCCCCANNNNNNNNNNNNNNNNNNNNNNNNNNNNNNNNNNNNNNNNNNNNNNNNNNNNNNNNNNNNNNNNNNNNNNNNNNNNNNNNNNNNNNNNNNNNNNNNNNNNNNNNNNNNNNNNNNNNCGCAUGUCGCACGUACGCGUCGUCCGUCCAGGCGAGGCGAGCGAGCGCGCGCGUGUGGUCAUCUCCUUUCUCUUCUUAACACACACUUAAAAUGGUGGGGAGAACUCACUAUAUAAAGAGGUCCAACUCUUCCUUAACUAGCAGUAUGAGACUAAACUUUAGCACCACCACACCACCACUUGACAUUUUACUCAUGGGCUCAAUUUGAGAUUUAAGAAUUUGUAGAUGGGCCAAGCCCAUUAAUUUAAAUAAUUUCGCACCAGAUCUCAAAUACCUAUUUAGAGAUUUGCCUUUUCUCUCUACUUGUUUAAUAUACCAGUGUUUCAGCAGAGACUGUUAAGUUAAACUUCUGCCUAGAAUUUAAGCUACAUCCAUUCACAACUUGACAAUGGACUAUGCCUUGAAUUGUUAUUUUUGUGUGAACAAGUUUCACUCAAAGUCUUAAUCAGUACCUGACUGCUAGUAGGCUACCCCGCGGUUUGGAGCAUAUACGUCGUACUCCCUAGUCUCUUCGUGAGCUUACUAGAGAUUACCCAAAUCCCCUAGAUUGCGACGUUUUACAACCGGAGCUCAUAUAGGUGUGAUAUUUCAAGAUUGCUUUGUAGGACAAAAUCUUUGCUACAAUAUCCAACAUAAUCACAUUAAGACAUGUUGCCAACUUGCCUUACAACACUUAAGCCUUACAGCUAUGAGAGUUUUGCAUUUUCACUUACAGACGGUCACUUAUUACUCUCCCCUGUUAAUCAAUCGCUUGGUCUUCCCAGGUCCUAAUUCACGGGAUCUCCAAUCACUAAGGUUCGAUUACUACUAUGGUGUAACGUCUAUGGAUCUCAUACCCAUCUCCCUCGAUGCAAUAUCUAUCACAUUUCGUGAUAGUCCUUUUGUAAAAGGAUCUGCGAGGUUUUUGUCUGUUUGAAUAUACGUAACAGUUAUUACUCCGGAGUUUUUCAACUUCCUGCAAUAUUUCAGGCGUCUGUUCACAUGUCUUGAUGACUUUACGGGCGGCGGUGAGGCGGGUCCGACAGUCUUAGAGGCCUCAAGAUCGGAGAGGCGCUCGUGGAGGCAGGCGACCACGAUGAGGCGGGUUGUUGGGGUGGACCUAUAAGGAGAAGGAGGAAGGGGACGAGUGACUAGAGCAUCUCCAACAACAUCACAAAAAUUUCACGCAUGAUAAAAGUUAUAGCAAAUCACUAUAGCAUUUUUUAUCACAGGAAUCAACAUGGCCUUAGCAUACGCCCAAAAACCCGUGCCCAAAAAAGCAAGCAGAGCAAAUUGUGAAGCGUACGCGAUCCGGCGUCCCAAAUAUGGUGCGCGCGAUAGCGUUUUUCAGUGUGCGCCUAAAUUUUUUUAGCACGCGCAUAGUUUUGCAGCCUCUGUUGGAGUUGUCUAGCGCAAAAAAAACAAAUCUUUUAAGGCAUGGAGCACUUUUUGGGUGCCUGUUGGGCAGACUUUCAAUUACAAGACGACUACAACUUGUUGCGAACAACAAGCGUAGCAAAAAAAUCCACACCAGGGCUAGUCCGAAGACAUCCUCCACCAACAACACAACUACACAACUACAAGAGCCUGACCACAUGUAAGCAACAUCGCCGCGUCACGACCAGUGCCUCUCAUCUCCAAAGACAACCAACUCCAACUAUACUUUCCUCGUCAACACACCAUCCACCCUUGAUGCCAAAAAGGAGGUGGCAAGUAGAUGAGGAACCUGGUCGGCACACUAAAGCCACCGUCUUGGACUCACCGGCUGUGACGUACAAUGCGCCUCUAAAGCUCACCUUGGACAGUAGGGAACACCAUAUGUAGCGUAAUGAGGAACCUCAAGACCCGACCUUCAAGCGCGAUGCUCCCAACAGAGUAGGAACGAUGAGGACGCCGCCAUCUCACCGGUUCAACUCCGAGAUACCUGUAGUGCACCUUUAUAAUCACCAGACACACGGAGUGACAAAUCCCAGUCUUGAUUCGUACCAACCCAACAGACACUUUCGGAGAUACCUGUAGUGCACCUUUAUAAUCACCCAGUUACGUUGUGACGUUUGAUACACCCAAAGCACUCCUACGGUAUCCGAGAGUUGCACAAUCUCAUGGUCUAAGGAAACGAUACUUGACAUUAGAAAAGCUUUAGCAGAAGAAUAACACGAUCUAGUGCUAUGCUUAGGAUUGGAUCUUGUCCGUCACAUCAUUUUCUGAUGAUGUGAUCCCGUUAUCAAUGACAUCCAAUGUCCAUGAUCAGGAAGCCACGAUCAUCUAUUGAUCAACGAGCUAGCCAACUAGAGGCUCACUAGGGACACAUUGUGAUCGAUAUAUUCACACAUGUAUUACGGUUUUCAGUUAAUACAAUUAUAGCAUGAAUAAUAGACAAUUAUCAUGAACUAGGAAAUAUAAUAAUAACCACUUUAUUAUUGCCUCUAGGGCAUAUUUCCAAGAGUAAGGAGGAGGACCCACUCUCCUUCGUGUGCCUCCGGCUCGACCUCUCCCUCAAGAAGCCUCCAUGAUUCAACAGCUAUCAACCCGUUGGUGACAAGGUUCAUGAUGUCCGCCUUCUUGACGGUUGACGGGAGGAAAUCCCCCUGGAUCCAUCCCAGCAGCGCCGCAGAUCGGGCGCCUGACGGCUUCUUUGCUUUGGCACCUUUCUUGGCGCGCUCGAGCUUGUCUGUCUUGCCCUUCGUCAUCUUGAAGGCGGUGGUGAAGGAAAAUCUAAGCGACACUCGUGAAGCAGGGGUGAAGAAGAAACAAAGGGGAAUUGAGGAGGCGCACUUUUCCAAUCCUAGCACCGUCCCAAUUUAUAAUCGCCCGAGUGAGUCGCUGACCUAUGGGCCCGUCAGAUCUCUGUCUAUCCCAGUAACAGAGGAAGCGUGAUACAUGGCGAAUAAGUUGGCGCGAUAAUCGAGGCAUCGCUCUCCCACUUGCCCUGGUCGUUGCGUCAUCACCUCACGGCGUGCGCUUACCAAAAUUUUAAAUCCCGUGAAAUCCUGACCUGUCGAAGUGACCCGUCGCAUCAAAGGACCCUGUUGAUCACUCAGACCAGUUUUCAUGCUCAACUUCACUCGGACACAUUUCAAGACAGAAUCAAUCAGGGUGAACGACAAAGGCUUCAAUCGAUGCAAACUUCUGCUAAGCCCUGAAGCACAUUCGGAGUUUGUGUGUCUUGUCAGAAUCUGCAUCGACCCCUUUCUCUCUCGAACCCCGAUCCAUUCGGGGGCUAAUGAUGGGGAUAUGUACCUAGGGUAGAGUCAUAGGCCUAACCUACAUGUCCUACCUAAGGGCACCACAUUGAAGGACUUAAAUAUUACUAGGAAGGCUCCGACUGACUCGCCAUGGUGAAUGGGUCACUCGGUAGAACAUCCACUUGGAGGUUUUCUCCUUUCACUCGACGGACACCUUUCACUCGGAGGAACCAGAAAAUAGUCGAUGCAGAAGACCAGAAGCCACUCCAGGGAGGCCAACCAGCACGCAUUCGACUGGUCGUCAUAACUAGCAUUUAUUAUGCACAUUAUCAGUAACACUCACCAUUAUUUUCCACUAUCGAACCCUUGGUUGUCGUAUCCUUGAUGAGGGGUAGCGCACUCUAUAUAAUCCACCCCUCCCCUCUGGCACAAGGGUUAGCAUCCCCUGUAACACACAUAUUCUACACGACAAGAGCUCCAAAGAACUGAGACGUAGGUCUAUUACCUCCACGAGAUGAGUCUGAACACAUACGUCGUGUGUAAGAACUCGCCAUAGCUAGGACUGUGCCCUCUCCUUACCUACCCCUGACCUCUAUUGUCAGGGUCGUUCCCACGACAGGUACUGCAUCAAGCACACGGUUCAUAUAUAUCAUGAACUCCCUGAGAUGAGUACAAGGUGUUGUAGAAAUUCAUUACAUGCGCUUCUAUCUCGGCUACAACCUCGGUCACCAUCCCAUCUGGCAGAGCUAGCGACUUGAUUGAUUCUUUUUCCUCCUUCUACUUGCCCUUAAGUGGAAGAAGUAUGUGUUCUUAUCAACAUGUGUUAACCACUCAAUCCGAGCCCUUUGAUGCCACAUAAUCUCCUCUGUUGAACAAUUCAACCUGCCUGUCACAUGUUUUAAUUUCUGCCCGAGAAGGCUCGGUUCUCCCUAGGAUCGACCGCAACAGAGCCAACUGGUUCUGUAGACUUCAAAUCUCUAGCCUGAUAUUGCCAAACACAUUGCGAUCCCAAUCAUCAAGAUCUUCAGAAAGCGGCCCAAGUUUUUAUUUAAUCCCUUGAACACUUCCUCCCUAGCACUGUCCCCAGCUUUGCACCAUCGGAGUUGUCGGGGAUAUACCCCACGGUGUAACCCCACUUGAAGUAUGACCCGUCAAGGACUUGGCGUCCCACUGGCGACUCAGCAGUGACCUGGCGGGCGGCUCAUAGAUUACCUCGCAAGCGACUCAUAGAUUACCUCGCAAGCGACUCAGAUAUACCCCAUGGUGUAACCCGGCUUGAAGUAUGACCCAGGGCCCGACGUACACUCUGGCAUAAGGCGACUCAUAGAGAGGUCAGGAGGGCCAACUGAUACGUCCAUUUUGCAUCAUGCUUUCAUGUUGAUAUUUAUUUCUUUAUGGGCUGUUAUAUUACUUUGUGGAACCAUAUUUAUGCCUUUUCUCUCUUAUUUUGCAAGGUUUAUUUGAAGAGGGAGAAUUCAGGCAGCUGGAAUUCUGGACUAGAAAAGGAGCAAAUCUUAGUCCACUAUUCUGCACAUCUCCAAAUGCCUUGAAAACUUACGUGGAUUUUUUGGGAUUAUAUAAAAAAUACUGGGGGAAAGAAGUACUGGAGGGGGGCUGCCAGGGCACCACAAGCCCUGCCACCGCCACCACCCCCCUGGUGGCGGAGUGGGGGCUUGUGGGCUCCCUGACGGCCCACUAGCCCCACUCUUUUGCUAUAUGAAGGGUUUUGGACCAGAAAAAAAAUCAUUCGAGAGCUUUUUUGUGGUUUCACCGCCGCCACAAGGUGGAACUUGAGCAGAUCCAAUCUAGAGCUCCGGCAGGACGAUCCUGCCGGGAAAACUUCCCUCCCGGAGAGGGAAAUCGUCGCCAUCGUCAUCACCAACACUCCUCUCGUCGGAGGGGAGGCAUCUUCAACAACAUCUUCAUCAGCACCAUCUCCUCUCCAAUCCCUAGUUCAUCUCUUGUAACCAAUCUUCGUCUCACAACUCCGAUUGGUACUUGUAAGGUUGCUAGUAGUGUUGAUUACUCUUUGUAGUUGAUGCUAGUUGGAUUACUUGGUGGAAGAGUUUAUGUUCAGAUCCUUGAUGCUAUUCAUUACACCUCUGAUCAUGAUUAUGAUUAUGCUUUGUGAGUAGUUACUUUUGUUCCUGAGGACAUGGGAUAAGUCAUGCUGNNNNNNNNNNNNNNNNNNNNNNNNNNNNNNNNNNNNNNNNNNNNNNNNNNNNNNNNNNNNNNNNNNNNNNNNNNNNNNNNNNNNNNNNNNNNNNNNNNNNUACUAUAUUUGUUGAUAUGAUCUUAAUAGUACCAUUUGUUCCUUAUAUCAAUCAAAUCUGCACUUGAAUCGUGAAUUGAAUGCUUGCCUAAAACAAAGAAUAGAAAUCCCGAUGGCACAUUAACUUCCUCUGGCCUGUUCGCCUAUAAAUAGCCCGCCAUUUGCCAUUAGCGAGGUAAAUCAAAAGAAGCUGAACACAUCCAGGCAAACUACUAGACACUAGCAUGGAGAUCAAGCCAGCACUCCUCCUUGUUGCCUGCUUGUUAUUGGGCAUCAGCAACAGAGGUAUGGUGUUCGACAUACCAAAAAAGGUCACCAAGAACUAGCAAGCAAUUGUGUCCCAUUUAGAGUCAGAUUGUCUCCAGGUCCCUAUAGGCACAAAUAACCACUUUAAUUUCUUUUUCAUCGUGUUUUUAAUCAGGCACUGCAGCAACAUGCAGAACUUCAGAUAUUGUUNNNNNNNNNNUAGGUCACCAAGAACUAGCAAGCAAUUGUGGCCCAUUUAGAAUCAGAUUGUCUCCAGGUCCCUAUAGGCACAAAGAACCAUUUUAAUUUCUUUUUCAUCAUGUUUUUAAUCAGGCACUGCAGCAACAUGCAGAACUUCAGAUAUUGUUGUCCAGACAGAGAGUUGGCCCGAUCCGGCAGGAACGCCAGUGUACUAUGUGAAUCUGGUGAAUAACUGCGGCUGCACGCAGAAGAACGUGAAACUGGCAUGUCCAGGGUUUAACUCUUCCGUCGAGGUCUACCCGGCCGCCGCCAUCAAGCCGGACGGCNNNNNNNNNNCUGGCCCGAUCCGGCAGGAACGCCAGUGUACUAUGUGAACCUGGUGAACAACUGCGGCUGCACGCAGAAGAACGUGAAACUGGCGUGUCCAGGGUUCAACUCUUCCGUCGAGGUCUACCCGGCCGCCGCCAUCAAGCCGGACGGCGACGGCAAGCUCUGCUCCCUCUACAGCGGCGCACCGGUUAGGCCUAAAN